rnacentral:rRNA from 1 species
UGGGGAAUAUUGGACAAUGGGCGAAAGCCUGAUCCAGCCAUGCCGCGUGUGUGAAGAAGGCCUUAUGGUUGUAAAGCACUUUAAGUGGGGAGGAAAAGCUUAUGGAUAACACCCAUAGGUUCUGACGUUACCCACAGAAUAAGCACCGGCUAACUCUGUGCCAGCAGCCGCGGUAAUACAGAGGGUGCAAGCGUUAAUCGGAAUUACUGGGCGUAAAGCGAGCGUAGGUGGUUUAUUAAGUCAGAUGUGAAAUCCCUGGGCUUAACCUAGGAACUGCAUCUGAUACUGAUAAACUAGAGUAGGUGAGAGGAAAGUAGAAUUCCAGGUGUAGCGGUGAAAUGCGUAGAGAUCUGGAGGAAUACCGAUGGCGAAGGCAGCUUUCUGGCGUCAUACUGACACUGAGGUUCGAAAGCGUGGGUAGCAAACAGGAUUAGAUACCCUGGUAGUCCACGCCGUAAACGAUGUCUACCAGUCGUUGGGUCUUUUAAAGGCUUAGUGACGCAGUUAACGCGAUAAGUAGACCGCCUGGGGAGUACGGCCGCAAGGUUA